CUGCAAAGAUAAAAGUCUAAGGUCCAACAUGUUCUGUACAGAGGAACGUGUAUGCUGGGGUAUGAGCAGACUCUAAAGAUGAUCAGACAGGGCAGAGGGAUACUGGCAGUCCUUGCUAACAACCAACCAGUAGACUUUGAGGAAGUCUGAAAUAGAAUACUAUACCAUGUUAGCCAAAGCUCAUAUCCCUCUCUACAGGAGUAAUAAUACUGAAUCAGGCACAUCACGCUGGAAAUACAACAGAGCAUGUGCCUUGGCAAUCACUGGCCUAGGUGACUCUGAUAUUAUAAACUUGGCAGAACAGACCAGGAAAAUGUAAACCAGAAA
rnacentral:lncRNA from 1 species